rnacentral:rRNA from 1 species
GAAGGGACCUAGCGUAGUUCGGAAUUACUGGGCUUAAAGAGUUCGUAGGUGGUUGAAAAAGUUAGUGGUGAAAUCCCAGAGCUUAACUCUGGAACUGCCAUUAAAACUUUUCAGCUAGAGUAUGAUAGAGGAAAGCAGAAUUUCUAGUGUAGAGGUGAAAUUCGUAGAUAUUAGAAAGAAUACCAAUUGCGAAGGCAGCUUUCUGGAUCAUUACUGACACUGAGGAACGAAAGCAUGGGUAGCGAAGAGGAUUAGAUACCCUCGUAGUCCAUGCCGUAAACGAUGUGUGUUAGACGUUGGAAAUUUAUUUUCAGUGUCGCAGGGAAACCGAUAAACACACCGCCUGGGGAGUACGACCGCAAGGUUAAAACUCAAAUGAAUUGACGGGGACCCGCACAAGUAGUGGAGCAUGUGGUUUAAUUCGAAGAUACGCGCAGAACCUUACCAACACUUGACAUGUUCGUCGCGACUCUAAGAGAUUAGAGUUUUCGGUUCGGCCGGACGAAACACAGGUGCUGCAUGGCUGUCGUCAGCUCGUGUCGUGAGAUGUUGGGUUAAGUCCCGCAACGAGCGCAACCCUCACUUUUAGUUGCCAUCAUUAAGUUGGGCACUCUGAAAGAACUGCCAGUGAUAAGCUGGAGGAAGGUGGGGAUGACGUCAAGUCCUCAUGGCCCUUACGUGUUGGGCUACACACGUGCUACAAUGGUAUUUACAACAGGAAGCAAGACUGCGAGGUCAAGCAAAUCCCUAAAAGAUACCUCAGUUCGGAUUGCACUCUGCAACUCGAGUGCAUGAAGCUGGAAUUACUAGUAAUCGUGGAUCAGCGUGCCACG